rnacentral:tRNA from 1 species
GUAUCGGUGGCUCAGUGGUAGAGCUCUCACCUUCCAUGCAGGAGACCCAGGUUUGAUUCCCGGCCAGGGCU